UUUUGUCUAAUAGUGUGAUGAUCCUUUACCCACUGUCCAUGUGCUUCAUUCAUCAGUUCUAAUACUCUGAGAGCACAUCCAUUGGAGUGGUCCUACUAGCUAGCACGGUGCACUGGACACAAUGGACCAACACUCUGACUCAGGGGAAAGUAGAACUGUAUAGGAGAUUGUGUAUGCAACUGCUUGAGGCUCAAACCCUGGCCAGUGUUGACUGGGGGAAUGGGGGAUUUGAAGACAGAAUCCUCCCCCACCAUGGGGAAGCUUGACCUGGGGUAUGGUCAACUCCCUCAUGUUAGCCCGACCCCUCCUGGGGGGCAUCACAUUGAUAGUUUCAACACACACGUGUAGAGGAGCUGUGUCAGAAUAAUGUCUUCACAAGGGAACAAAAGUUUCCCACAGAUGAGGACCGCCUCACUGACUUCCAUUCUCAUCUCUUGUUUGUGAUGAGAUAAAGAUCACCUUCCGUUGUGUGCCUAAAGUGAGUGUGUGUGGAGGGUGUGUGCGCGCGUGUGUGUGUGCGUGUGUGUGGGUGUGUGUGUGUG